AGGGCUCCCCGCCUUGGUGGUUGCCAUUUCUGUGGGAUUUACUAAAGCCAAGGGGUACGGCACCGUGAACUACUGCUGGCUGUCGUUAGAGGGAGGUCUUCUCUACGCCUUCGUGGGACCAGCUGCUGCUGUUGUUUUGGUGAACAUGGUUAUUGGCAUUCUGGUUUUUAACAAACUUGUAUCCAAAGAUGGAAUAACAGAUAAGAAACUGAAGGAACGGGCAGGG